GGGCGCGGCUUCCGGGCGCCCACUUCGAAACGGCAGAGCGUCGCCGGCCCCGCCAUGACGCAGUCGGUGGUGGUGCAGGUGGGACAGUGCGGGAACCAGGUGGGCUGCCGGUUCUGGGACCUGGCGCUGCGGGAACACGCCGCCGUCAACAAGAAAGGAAUUUAUGAUGAAGCCUUAAGCAGCUUCUUUAGGAACGUAGAUACAAGAAGUGGUGGUGAUGGUCCUGGUAUUUACAAAGGAAAAAUCUGCUCUUUAAAAGCACGAGUAAGACAAUCUAUAAAGGCACUGUUGAUUGACAUGGAGGAGGGUGUGGUAAAUGAAAUUCUGCAGGGACCAUUGAGGGAUAUGUUUGAUAGCAAGCAGCUUAUCACAGAUGUUUCUGGUUCAGGAAACAACUGGGCUGUAGGUCAUAAGCUAUAUGGCUAUCAGUACCGGGAAAGCAUUGUGGAAAAGCUGAGGAAAACCGCAGAACAUUGUGACUGUCUGCAAUGUUUCUUUAUAAUUCACUCCAUGGGAGGUGGGACAGGAUCUGGUCUUGGAACUUUUGUACUAAAUUUGCUUGAGGACGAAUUCCCAGAAGUGUAUAGAUUUGUUACUUCAGUUUAUCCCUCUGGUGAAGAUGAUGUUAUUACUUCUCCAUAUAAUAGUGUUCUGGCUAUGAAGGAGCUUAAUGAACAUGCAGACUGUGUGUUACCAGUAGAGAAUGAAUCUCUGUUUGAUAUAGUUAAUAAAAUUAAUCAGAUGAUCAAUUCUGGGAAGCUGGGGUCAACCGUGAAGCAAAAUAGCUUGGUAACAUCAAGUACAGGCAGUGUAAAAACUCUCCAAGAGAAGCCAUUUGAUGCAAUGAAUAAUAUCGUAGCCAACUUGCUGCUGAACCUGACAAGCUCUGCUAGAUUUGAAGGUUCCCUGAACAUGGAUCUUAAUGAAAUCAGUAUGAAUUUGGUUCCAUUUCCUCGACUUCAUUAUUUGGUUUCAAGCUUGACUCCUCUGUAUACGUUGGCGGACGUUAACGUACCUUCUAGAAGGUUGGAUCAGAUGUUUUCAGAUGCAUUUAGUAGAGAUCAUCAACUAAUUCAAGCAGAUCCAAAGCACAGCCUCUACCUUGCCUGUGCACUUCUUGUUCGAGGAAAUGUGCAGGUUUCAGACCUUCGCCGAAAUAUUGAAAGGUUAAAACCUUCUCUGCACUUUGUCUCCUGGAAUCAAGAGGGCUGGAAAACUGGUUUGUGUUCAGUACCUCCCGUGGGCCAUUCCCAUUCACUUCUGGCUUUAGCAAACAACACUUGCAUAAAACCAACUUUCAUUGAACUCAAGGAGAGAUUUAUGAAGCUCUACAAGAAAAAGGCUCACCUUCACCAUUAUCUGCAAAUAGAUGGGAUGGAGCAAAGCUGUUUUUCUGAAGCUGUGUCCUCGUUGUCUGAUCUAAUAGAAGAGUACAAUGAACUGGAUGUGACAAAAGGUGGGCCUAGAACAGACCCAUCAAGACUGAAGAUAGCUGUUUAAAGAAGGAAGAACUGCUCUUUAUAUUUUGGUUAAAAAGAAUGAAAUACUUCCUAAGCAUCCAGCCACUUCAGUUAACCAGAAUGACUUGCAGCAUGCCUGGCUGUUGUAAUUCUGAAGUGGGACCAGGACAACGGCUUCCUCAGCUCAAGAGUUGUCAUAUUAAGUGAUAAGCCCUGCCUGUAAGAAAGAUUUGACAGCACCUAAUUAUAGCUGAUAUCAGUAAGAGCAGUAAUCCUAACUGUGGAGUAAAUUGACACACCAUAUGCUGUGAAGAGAAGGAAAAGAGAUUUUAGCAGCAAAAAUGUAAUUCUUUUCUCAGACUUUACAGUAAACUAAAGGACUUUGAGUUCCGAAAACAUAUCUCCUGGAGCACUGCAAAUCCUCUGACAUACGCAGGACGUUAUCCACAUCAUCUUCCACUUGAAGAAGCCUUCAUUGGGACACUCAAACUGUACAGUGAUCAUUUUGGACUUAUUAGGUAUGCAGCACCUCUUGUCCAAGCACACCCCACAGAAAGUUAGUCUGUAGCUUUGAGUAGUUGAGCAUCCAGAAAAAACUAGCUUCUCUGCUCUUGGAAGCUGGAAUGUUGGUUGACAUGUUUUUCCUUUUGAAAUCUUUAAUAUUAGAACAAAGAAAAGCCUGAGUUUUCUAUGCAUUAAAAACAGACCAUGUAAGAAAUAGUUGCAACAUUUACUUAGAAAUAUCUUAAAAGUUAGUCUGAAACUAACUUGGUCUGAAACUGCCUUAUUUUUCCUUUAGCAGUCAACAAAUAGAAAAUACUUUUGGAGUGACUGUGCAUCAGGGCAGCACUAGCUACACAUCUAUAUCGGGACAUUACAUUUUUUUCUUUAAAUUGCACAUCUGUAGUUUACUAUUGAAGCCUGAAGAUUGAAUGUAGAAAACAUAAGUUAUUUUAAAACCCUUAAAAAAGAAAGAAGUAAAUGUUUUAUUAGUAACUGCUAAUACAUCCAUUUUUCCACUAGCUCCAAUAUUUUCGUUUUCUAUUAAGAAGUAAUUUUAUAUUAGAAAAUACCUUUAUUUUCUUCAGCAUAUUAGUCAGACAAGGCUGGAUGAAGCAUAAUCUCUUUUCUUUUUUCAUCUCACAUCUUCUGUUGUCGUUGGUCACUCUGCUGGAUAUGCCUAUACCACAGGUCCUGGAGCAGGGUGUCCAGGGAGUUGCCUGUACAAGGCAUUUUUUCUUCAAGACUAGUGGUAAGGUUCUGUAAGCUAAGACAGCAAUAUAUUAUUUAUGCAGCAGACCAGCCCCAAAAGGAUGAAUUGAAAAUACAAGGAUAAGACUUCGAUUUCUGUUCCUGAAGGUACUUCUGGAGGUAAACGUAGAAAUGAGACAUAAAUAACAUUAUUCAAAAGCCAGCUGAGCUCCUGUUAAACAUUACUGACACUGGAUACUCAGAUCCUAGUAAGGACUAUCAAAUUGCAUAUGUUAUAUGACUCUCCAGUUCUGCUUAAUGGAAAUGUUAUGUGGAGAGGGUUAUUUGUGGAAUUUUUAUGGAAUGUCCAGAUUUUUUUUAUUUUAUUUCAGGCCAAACAUAGCUUUUAAAGGGCUGCUGAAAACAUUAAUGUUCAUUUCCUUGUAGAUACUGUGAAGACUUUAGAGUUUGUGUUGAGGAAUAAAAUACUCCAAUCACUUCUAGAUAUCACCAAAAAGCCUAUUUUUCUGAUGGAUGACACCUGGAUUAGGUGGAGUACACUUAAAAAAAGAAAUAAAAUUGUAGUGAAAAAGUUCAUGGUGAAAGUCUGCAAAAAAACUAUGUGGAAUCUGGACAUUUAUGUAAGAGCAGAGGCAGAAUUACCUGAAAUUGCCAGAAUUGCUGUCAGCUUUUCAGAAUACCUGGAAGUAGACAGCAAUUUAAAGAUCUCGUUGAAACAAGCAAUUUAAAAGCCUUUCACAGAACUGCAACAAAUAAAGAGAAGCUAAAUGGUCAUUUAUACUUGGUAUAUUUUUUAAAGUAUGACCUGUUUACAUCCUUAUGUGUCUGAAUUAGGUAAAUUCAAUUGAAACAGAAAGCUAGAAAACAAAACGAGCAGUAAAAUGAAACUUAGCACUUAUCCACACUAACAGAAAAAGGACUUUUCAAAAUAGAUAUUGAGCCAUCCAUGGAGUUCAUGCACAAGUUGACAUGAUACUUCUGCUGGUCUGGGAAAUGGAAGGGGAAAGCCUUUGAAACAAAAAUUUCAAGGUGUAUUUCUUUAGAAGGUUCCUAAAGAACAGCAUCCUUCAGCACGUACAGCCACCACAGAGACAAGGUGUUAGGUCUCUGAACUGAGCCAACAGGAAGGAUUUGCAAGCUGAGUGUCUUCUCUCAAAGUUAUUCUGCACAGUUGAUUCAAAUUCUGGAAUGAAUGUUGGCUUAAUACUGUUCUCCAGAUAUCUAUCUCCCCACAAACCCAAUUACUGUAUGUCAAAUGGUCAAAUGGUUUGGUUGCCAUCGUUUUCAGUGUGUUCUCUCUUGAAUCAGAUUAACACUGUUUUCUAGAAAACAAAUCACUCUUCACUUGAAGUCAGUUGCCUUACCAAAUGCAUGUUUAUACAACAACAUUAAGGACAUUUCUCUUAAAAGGCUUUGAUAUUAGACAGAGGUAUCAUAAUUUUGAAGUAAGGAUUCUUUUUUUAUUUUUACUGACUUGUAUAACCACUGCUAAUGUGUGAGAAGCUGUCCAAACUGAACUUCAGAUUUUGUAAGCAGGUCUGUUUAUCUGCAGAUUGACUUCUGUGCAUCUACCUGUUUACUCAGCAGCCUUUGAAGGUUUUCUGAUAAGCUUUGCAAUCCUUUUAGUUUUAUUUUAUUGAUCCAUGAUCAUGAUUCAAGCUGCCACCAAAUAAAUGGCUCAGCUGUCUGGUACCCAUAUUGGUUGUGAUGAAGAUGACUUUCACCAUGGAAAGCUGCACAUGCACAGGGGAGGAGAUGGCGCAAGCUUAGGCAGCUGUGGCCAGGGAAGUGCCAGGAUAGCUGCUUCUGUCAUGGUGCUUCCUUAAAGUGAAAAAGAAAACUACAGGGUUAGCAGGAGAGCAAGAAUGAAGUUGAAGGGAAUAUCAAAUGACCCUGGCAGUUGACAAGCAUGGACAGGCUUGUGGAUGUUUUUUACCAGACUGAAUAGAGAAGAAAGUAAGGGGGAGUGCUGUCCUUACAGUGACCUCAAAUUUGUCAGGAAAGCCACUAAGGCAAUUUUUAUCAUUUUUUGCUUUCUAUUGGAAGAAGAGGCCUGCAGCAUGUUAAUUUACGUAUGUGAAAACAAGACUCUGUACCACCACAAAGCAGGAGAAAGUGAGACAGCUCCCAAGCUGCAAAAUGGCUGUCCACCAGCAUCUCUAAUUGGGCUGAUCUGAUGAGUAAUAAACCUCUGCAGAAUGAUGCUUUGCCCAAUUCCCUGGUGACAGAAGCCAAAAGCCUUUUUGCUUUUCACAUUCAUUAGGUUUAGAGAAAAGAAUCUGUGACCUGAGAGUAAGAGGGAUAAGUGGGACAGAACAGUCACCCUGGCAAUGGCCUUCAGUAAGAACUGAGAAAGUGCCAGUGCAUUGCCUGCCUGGCUGCUGGAGCCAGGGACACUAAAUGCAUAAAGGUUCACGUACAGAAAAGUUUACCAGUGUGGCCAGGCUCACCUGACAUUAGUCUGUAGUUGGUUGAUUGAAGCUGCUUGUGCUGUCCUAGGCCACAAAUAGAUUGUCCAGGCUUCUUUCUGCCCGUGACCCUGGUGCAGGGACUCACUGCUAGUUUCGGUGUGAAUACAGGUGUACAUCCAAUUGCACCACUGACACACAGGCACUUAUAAAGUGGGUUAGGCUGGAAGGUCUGCCCGUUGGGAUAAUAGACUCCAUUGAGCUCACAUCCUACAGCUACCAGAUCUGAAAAUGGUGAACAACAGUUACUAACACAGGAGGAGCACGUGGAUCUUGCUUAACAGAGUGCUAAAAUGUGGUGAGCCAUAAAUGUUGUCAGCUCUUUAAAUCAGUCACCAACAUGUCUGCCAAUAACAGGCUUGUGCAUGAUGAACUGGUUUCACUAAUGCAUAUGCAGGUAAGUUUAAAGCCAGUCCGAGCACUACUCUUAGAUUCUCUGAUUGAGCAGUCAGAGAACUAAAUUAGGAUAAAUUGCUUAGCACAGAGCUGUACAGCACCUGCAAGCAGAAUUUUCCUCCAAAACCGUUUACCUGCAUGGUCCCACCCUCCUGCAUUUCAAGAAGGAAACGUGGAAGAACAACUUACAUGCACACACGCCUUUUUCAUACCUAGGCUCGUCUUCCGAGUAGUCGCAGUAGAGACCUUUAUGGGGAUCACAGACGUCUGCUUCAUUGCAGGGCUCUCCUGACUGCUUGGCGCAGACUUUACAGCAGCCACAGCCAUCCUUCACCAAGCUUACCCCAGGGGUGCAGGCUGGCACAGGCGGACAUCUGCAUGGCCAGUGACAAACCUCCUUGCGCUGGUGGACUUCACCAGUUUCUGAAGGUUUAUCUCCAGGCUGCACUGGUGGGCUGUGGAAAAACUUACACACAGUGGGAUAUUUUGAGCGCUGAAUGCAUUAUGUGUAUCUGGAAUAGCAUAAAAUAAAGUUGAGGUGGAAAACACUGUCACAUUGGAUGAAGACACAUAACAUUUCUCAGCUCAUGGGAUUGAAAAGUGAAAGGCUGUAAGGUAAGAGGCAGAGGACCAUCUUCAUCCACUGUCAUGGACUGAGGUGUUCUAACAGUGAGCCUGGCCUACUGCUUGCACAAAACACAAUUCAUUGGUCUUUCCUUUGCCUUCCAUAGAACAAAACCUGUAGUAGAACUGAAGUAGAAAAAACAGUGGUUUAAAGUAGGUGGUUUUAUUUUAAGUAUUCCUUCCUACAAACCUUUUAUCAAAUUAAUUAACUUUUGAUUCAUCACAUAGUUAUAUAACCAGCCACAGUCCUGUGUGCCAGUUCUGGUGGCAAAAGCCUUUUAAAAUAAUGAACGUCUUUUGAAUGUUAUUUUUGCUCUAAAAUUUGAGUAGUUGUUUGGGAGUACGCAUUAUAAUACUUAAAAAUUUUGUACUACACACAGAAAUUUAAUCCUAAUAAGGGAGGCUAGUGGUUAUACUGAGCUUAAUAGGUUGCUUUCUAAGAGUGUAUUUGUUUGCAUGACUAAGUCCUCAUUGAAUCCAGGGCUUAUGGAGCAAAGACAUAUCUCAUUAAAGAGAUUUGUAUCAGCAGUAAGAAGUCGCGAUCUAGCUAGAAUUUACUGUUUUGCACAUUCUGUCUCAGAAUUCAUGGGGGGCUUUGUUGUUUGGGUUUUUUUUAAGUGAAGGAAAACCUAAGUAAUUCUUGACAGGUUUAUUUUUCUGAGGCAUGGGGGGAGAUUUAAGUCAGCACAGAGUGUGAAAGGAUCUAUUUGAGACAACUAUAUUCUAUCUGCAUUUUUUAAGAACUACAUUUAAACAUAACAGUUUAGAUCUUAGCAUUAGAUCUUUUCAUGCUGCUGAUUUCAGCAGAAAUGCAGAUCAUGCUAU